rnacentral:rRNA from 1 species
UACGUCGGGGGCGAGCGUUGUCCGGAAUCAUUGGGCGUAAAGCGCGCGCAGGCGGUCCUUUAAGUCUGAUGUGAAAGCCCACGGCUCAACCGUGGAGGGUCAUUGGAAACUGGGGGACUUGAGUGCAGAAGAGAAGAGUGGAAUUCCACGUGUAGCGGUGAAAUGCGUAGAGAUGUGGAGGAACACCAGUGGCGAAGGCGACUCUUUGGUCUGUAACUGACGCUGAGGCGCGAAAGCGUGGGGAGCAAACAGG